GAAAGAAAACGGCCUUCCAUGUAAUCAAAGAUAGAGAAAUCCCAAGAAGAAGGUUCACAAGCCUUCUUUCAUUUCCCUUCUCCUCCUCUCUCUCGCUCUCUCUCUCUCUCUCUCUCUCUCUCUCCCAUCUUCUCAUUUGAGAGGAGGAGGAGGAGGAGGAGGAGAAGGUGGUGGCGGCUGAGGAGGCUACCUGUUGAAUUUUGCUAAAGGUGAUGGGCAGGCUGUCGGUGGGGAUCCUCGGCCUAGCAGAGCUAUUCGUAAGCGCGGCGGUGCAUCUGCUAUUCGGAUUCUAUGUGUUUAGCACCGCGGUGGCGUCGGACCUCUCGCAGGCCGUAACGGAUUGCUUCAAGCCCAACACAUUUAACUUGGUUGCAAAGGAGGAGGAGGAGGAGGAGAGCAAGGGAAAGGUGGUGGUCUUGAAAGGGUCGCCGCCGCCUAUCGUGCUCGUGCAUGGGAUUUUUGGUUUUGGCAAAGGGAGGCUUGGCGGGUUGUCGUAUUUUGCCGGGGCCGAGAAGAAGGAUGAGCGUGUUCUGGUGCCUGAUUUAGGGUCCUUGACCAGUAUACAUGAUAGAGCGCGCGAAUUGUUCUACUAUUUGAAGGGAGGGCAGGUGGACUAUGGAGAGGAGCACAGCAGGAUAUAUGGCCAUUCACAAUUUGGGAAGACCUAUGGGCAAGGACACUAUCCUGAGUGGGAUGAAAACCAUCCAAUUCAUUUUGUCGGUCACUCAGCAGGCGUGCAAGUCGUCCGCGUGUUGCAGCAGAUGCUUGCUGACAAGGCCUUCAGUGGCUAUAAGAAUACUUCCGAGGACUGGGUAUUGAGCAUCACUUCCUUAUCUGGUGCAUUAAAUGGAACCACUAGGACCUACUAUGAUGGAAUGCAGCCAGAGGAUGGAAGGUCUAUGAAAUCCAUAUCCCUGCUGCAGCUCUGUCGAUUAGGAGUCAUAUUCUAUGACUGGCUCAACUUUUCAUGGCUCAAGAACUACUACAAUUUUGGAUUCGAUCACUUCGAGAUGGGAUGGAGGAAGACUGGUAUUACUGGUCUUAUUGAUUUACUCUUGGGGAAUGCUGGACCUUUUGCUUCUGGAGAUUGGAUCCUUCCUGACCUCACAAUUCAAGGUUCCAUCAAGCUAAAUUCUAGUCUCCGCACCUUCCCCAACACAUUCUACUUCAGCUAUGCAACUAAAAGAACAAGAAAAUUCAUGGGACUUACAUUACCUUCUAGCAUUCUCGGAAUCCACCCAAUGCUCUUCAUUAGAGUCUUGCAAAUGAGCCAAUGGCGUCACCCUUCCAAUAUGCCUCCACCUUAUAAAGGAUACAGGGAUGAAGACUGGGAAGACAAUGAUGGAGCCCUCAACACAAUAUCCAUGACCCACCCUCGCCUACCUAUCGAACACCUGAGCCAUUUUGUCGAGGAUGACUCAGAAUGCCAGCCUUUGCGACCAGGAAUCUGGUAUUACAAGAUAAUAGAAGCCGAUCACAUUCUUUUUAUUGUGAAUCGAGAAAGAGCUGGAGUACAGUUCGACCUUUUAUAUGACGGCAUCUUCCAGCGCUGCAGAAAGCAUGCAUUUAGGACCAGUCCACCAAUAGUACCCAAUGAAAGCUACCAAUAGCCCCAUGCUUUGCAAUCACUCGCACAGAACAUCAGGAAGCAAGAGAAAGAAGCUGGCCUAUGGGUGUUCUUAAUUUACCUUCCCAGGCUGUUGAAAGUAGAAUUUAAAGAAUAUGAAGAUCUGUGUACAUAAUUUUUGAUUCAUCAAAGAUGCCAAGUAGAUAUCAGUAACUGCCUAGCAAGAAAGGUAAAUGUUCUCAUAUUAAAGGCAUCUGGCAUAGCAUGUGCAGUUGGCAGCUAGUCAGAAACAUAUUUUGAGUCGGUCAAAACCCUAAUAGUAUCAUAUGAGAGAUCACAACAGAGCCAUCAAAACUGUAACUUUGCAUCAAAAAAGAGCAGUAACUCUUGUGCAUCGCUCAUUGUAAAGCAGUUAAGAAAAUGAGAGCAUCAAUGGAGCUUUCAAGGUGGAUACCACUCUCUGAAGGCUGCGAUUGGAGUAUCAGGGGGAGACAUCUAAUAUUUUCUCCGAGGUAUGCCAUCUCAGGCUAGUAUAGGAGCCGGUUCAGUAUACCGAGCGUUCGUAUGUCCUCCAUACCGUGCACUAGUAUGGUACGGUGUGGUGUACCAUUUAAUUCGGUACGGUGUGGUGUACCAUGAUUUUCUCUCUUGCAAUCCUUGUUUGAGAAAAAAGAAAAGAAAAAUGGACAAUGACAAGCAGACAAGAGCAAGCAUUAGAUAUAUCUCCCUUUUUAUUGAAGGAAACUCACUACAUGUACCGAACUAAAAUGGUGGAGCCGAAGGUCCCUGAAAAGCUCUGUAUGCAUCUACAGAUUGGGAAGUCUAUCAAGAAAACAGAUGCAGGCUUU